GCGUGCUUAACACAUGCAAGUCGAACGGUGAACACGGAGCUUGCUCUGUGGGAUCAGUGGCGAACGGGUGAGUAACACGUGAGCAACCUGCCCCUGACUCUGGGAUAAGCGCUGGAAACGGCGUCUAAUACUGGAUAUGUGACGUGACCGCAUGGUCUGCGUUUGGAAAGAUUUUUCGGUUGGGGAGGGGCUCGCGGCCUAUCAGCUUGUUGGUGAGGUAAUGGCUCACCAAGGCGUCGACGGGUAGCCGGCCUGAGAGGGUGACCGGCCACACUGGGACUGAGACACGGCCCAGACUCCUACGGGAGGCAGCAGUGGGGAAUAUUGCACAAUGGGCGAAAGCCUGAUGCAGCAACGCCGCGUGAGGGAUGACGGCCUUCGGGUUGUAAACCUCUUUUAGCAGGGAAGAAGCGAAAGUGACGGUACCUGCAGAAAAAGCGCCGGCUAACUACGUGCCAGCAGCCGCGGUAAUACGUAGGGCGCAAGCGUUAUCCGGAAUUAUUGGGCGUAAAGAGCUCGUAGGCGGUUUGUCGCGUCUGCUGUGAAAUCCCGAGGCUCAACCUCGGGCCUGCAGUGGGUACGGGCAGACUAGAGUGCGGUAGGGGAGAUUGGAAUUCCUGGUGUAGCGGUGGAAUGCGCAGAUAUCAGGAGGAACACCGAUGGCGAAGGCAGAUCUCUGGGCCGUAACUGACGCUGAGGAGCGAAAGGGUGGGGAGCAAACAGGCUUAGAUACCCUGGUAGUCCACCCCGUAAACGUUGGGAACUAGUUGUGGGGUCCAUUCCACGGAUUCCGUGACGCAGCUAACGCAUUAAGUUCCCCGCCUGGGGAGUACGGCCGCAAGGCUAAAACUCAAAGGAAUUGACGGGGACCCGCACAAGCGGCGGAGCAUGCGGAUUAAUUCGAUGC
rnacentral:rRNA from 1 species